rnacentral:misc_RNA from 1 species
GUGGGUGUGGGUUGGGGUGUGGUGCUGUUGGGGUGGGGGGAAGUAAGGGGAUAUUCACAUGCUUCUAAAACUACUUAUAUCAAUUUCUCCAAGUAACUGUUGAAAAUUAUGUGUUGAAUCAAUCAAUUAAUGUAAAGUUCCUCAUCCAAGAAAGAAUCUCCUGCUUUUCUUUUACCCUCAAACUCAACAAGUAAAAUAAUUCUCUCAGUAACAUUUGUGCGAUGCAACUCAACUCCACUCAACUCAAC